GGUAGCACAGAGGAGCUUGCUCCUCGGGUGACGAGUGGCGGACGGGUGAGUAAUGUCUGGGAAACUGCCCGAUGGAGGGGGAUAACUACUGGAAACGGUAGCUAAUACCGCAUAACGUCGCAAGACCAAAGUGGGGGACCUUCGGGCCUCACACCAUCGGAUGUGCCCAGAUGGGAUUAGCUUGUAGGCGGGGUAACGGCCCACCUAGGCGACGAUCCCUAGCUGGUCUGAGAGGAUGACCAGCCACACUGGAACUGAGACACGGUCCAGACUCCUACGGGAGGCAGCAGUGGGGAAUAUUGCACAAUGGGCGCAAGCCUGAUGCAGCCAUGCCGCGUGUAUGAAGAAGGCCUUCGGGUUGUAAAGUACUUUCAGCGGGGAGGAAGGUGUUGAGGUUAAUAACCUCAGCAAUUGACGUUACCCGCAGAAGAAGCACCGGCUAACUCCGUGCCAGCAGCCGCGGUAAUACGGAGGGUGCAAGCGUUAAUCGGAAUUACUGGGCGUARAGCGCACGCAGGCGGUCUGUUAAGUCAGAUGUGAAAUCCCCGGGCUUAACCUGGGAACUGCAUUUGAAACUGGCAGGCUUGAGUCUCGUAGAGGGGGGUAGAAUUCCAGGUGUAGCGGUGAAAUGCGUA
rnacentral:rRNA from 1 species